AGAGUUUGAUCCUGGCUCAGGAUGAACGCUAGCGGCAGGCUUAAUACAUGCAAGUCGAGGGGCAGCAUGACUGUAGCAAUACAGUUGAUGGCGACCGGCAAACGGGUGCGGAACACGUACAGAACCUUCCUUCGAGCGGGGAAUAGCCCAGAGAAAUUUGGAUUAAUACCCCAUAGUAUUACGGAGUGGCAUCGCUUUGUAAUUAAAGAUUUAUCACUUGAAGAUGGCUGUGCGGCUGAUUAGGUAGUUGGCGGGGUAACGGCCCACCAAGCCUGCGAUCAGUAACUGGUGUGAGAGCACGACCAGUCACACGGGCACUGAGACACGGGCCCGACUCCUACGGGAGGCAGCAGUAAGGAAUAUUGGUCAAUGGACGAAAGUCUGAACCAGCCAUGCCGCGUGGAGGAUGAAGGUCCUCUGGAUUGUAAACUUCUUUUAUAUGGGACGAAAAAAGGCUUUUCUAAGUCGUCUGACGGUACCAUAUGAAUAAGCACCGGCUAACUCCGUGCCAGCAGCCGCGGUAAUACGGAGGGUGCAAGCGUUAUCCGGAUUCACUGGGUUUAAAGGGUGCGUAGGUGGGUUGGUAAGUCAGUGGUGAAAUCCCCGAGCUUAACUUGGGAACUGCCAUUGAUACUAUCAGUCUUGAAUACCGUGGAGGUCAGCGGAAUAUGUCAUGUAGCGGUGAAAUGCUUAGAUAUGACAUAGAACACCAAUUGCGAAGGCAGCUGGCUACGCGAAUAUUGACACUGAGGCACGAAAGCGUGGGGAUCAAACAGGAUUAGAUACCCUGGUAGUCG
rnacentral:rRNA from 1 species